GCAUCCAACGCGUUGGGAGCUCUCCCAUAUGGUCGACCUGCAGGCGGCCGCGAAUUCACUAGUGAUUAGAGUUUGAUCAUGGCUCAGAUUGAACGCUGGCGGCAUGCCUUACACAUGCAAGUCGAACGGCAGCACGGGAGCAAUCCUGGUGGCGAGUGGCGAACGGGUGAGUAAUGUAUCGGAACGUACCUUUCAGUGGGGGAUAACGUAGCGAAAGUUACGCUAAUACCGCAUAUUCUGUGAGCAGGAAAGCAGGGGAUCGCAAGACCUUGCGCUGAUUGAGCGGCCGAUAUCAGAUUAGCUAGUUGGUGAGGUAAAGGCUCACCAAGGCGACGAUCUGUAGCGGGUCUGAGAGGAUGAUCCGCCACACUGGAACUGAGACACGGUCCAGACUCCUACGGGAGGCAGCAGUGGGGAAUUUUGGACAAUGGGCGCAAGCCUGAUCCAGCCAUGCCGCGUGAGUGAAGAAGGCCUUCGGGUUGUAAAGCUCUUUUACCCGGGAUGAUAAUGACAGUACCGGGAGAAUAAGCUCCGGCUAACUCCGUGCCAGCAGCCGCGGUAAUACGAAUCGAAUUCCCGCGGCCGCCAUGGCGGCCGGGAGCAUGCGACGUCG
rnacentral:rRNA from 1 species